GCACCUAAUAACCCACCAGGACCCGCGGGAAGUCCCCGGCCCUGUACACCACAAAAAUCGCGGUAGCAGUAUUUUUUUUUUUUGGGGGG
rnacentral:sRNA from 1 species